CUUCAGUAAAAGUCUACUUGUACACAAUGGCAUCACCAACCCCUCUGUCCAAGGCCAACACCACCUUCUCUCUGGCUUUGCUCAAAGAGUUUUGAGAAGACAAAAAGACGGGGAAUAUCUUCUACUCCCCUUUCAGCAUCUCUUCAGCCCUCGCUAUGGUGAUGCUCGGGGACAGC